GGCUAAUCCUCCACCUAGUGGCUCCGGCACACCGGGUUCUAGUCCCGGUCGGGGCGCCGGAUUCUGUCCCGGUUGCCCCUCUUCCAGGCCAGCUCUCUGCUGUGACCCGGGAUGGCAGUGGAGGAUGGCCCAAGUGCUUGGGCCCUGCACCCCAUGGGGAGACCAGGAGAAACACCUGGCUCCUGCCUUCAGAUCAGUGCGGUGCGCCAGCCACAGCAUGCCAGCCGUGGUGGCCAUUGGAGGGUGAACCAAUGGCAAAAGGAAGACCUUUCUCUCUGUCUCUCUCUCUCACUAUCCACUCUGCCUGUCAAAAAAAUAAAAAAAAAAGAAUUAAACAAGUAGUAAAUAGAAAAAUCACUGUUCCUCAAGAAUAUAGAUAAGGGCUACAAAUGAUAAGUCUAAAAAUGUCAAAUUCACUCAUAUACAUUACAGUUUUUUAUUCUGUAUAUUAGUUAUAACAAAUUGGGGGAAAAUGUGAUAUUUGGCUUUUGUGGACUGGCUUGUUUCACUAAUGAUAAUGGUUUCCAGUAGCAUUCAUUUUGUUCCAAGGGACAGGUUUUUAUUCUUUUUUAUGGUUGAGUAGUAUUCCUUAGUGUAAAUGUGCGUGCGUGCGUGUGUGUGUGUGUGUGUAAUCACAUUUUCUUUAUCUAGUUAUCAGUUGAUGGACAUCUGGUUUGGAUCCACAUCUUAGCUAUUGUGAAUUAAGAUGCCAUAAACAUGGGGGUACAGAUAAGUCUUUCAUAUAAUGACUUCAUUUCCUUUGGGUAAAUUCCCAGGAAUGGGAUUGCUGGGUCACAUGAUAGAUCUAUUUUCAGCUUUCUGAGGUAUCUCCAUACAGUCUUCCACGUUGGCUGUACUAGUUUACAUUCCCACCAGCAGUGGAUUAGGGUGCCUUUUCCCCCAGCAUCCUCACCACAUUUAUUGUUAGUUGAUUUCUGUAUGAGAGCCAUUCUAACUGGGGUAAGGUGAAACCUCGUUGUGGUUUUGAUUUGCAUUUCCCUGAUGGUUAGUGACCCUGGCACUUUUUCAUGUGCCUGGCUAUUUGGAUUUCCUCUUAUGAAAAAUGCCUGUUCAUGUCCUUAACCUAUUUCUUAACUGGAUUGUUUGCUUUGUUGUUGUUGAAUCUUUAUAGAUUCUGGAUAUUACUCCUUUAUCAGUUCAUAGUUUGCAAAUAUUUUCUCCCAUUCUGUUGGUUGCCUCUUCAUUUUGUUGAUUUUUUUCCUAUGCAGCACAGAAGUUUCAUAGCUUGAUAUAAUCCUCUUUGUCUAUUUUUGUGUUUAUUGCCUGUGCUUCUGGGGUCUCAUCCAUAAAAUGUUUGCCUAUGCUACUGUCUUGUAGAGUUUCCCUGAUGUUUUUCUCUAGUAAUUUGAGGUAUAGGGUCAUGGAUUUAGAUUCUUGAUGGAUUUUCAGUUGGUUUUUGAAUAAGGUGUAAGGUAGAGGUUUUUCUUCAUACUUCUGCAUUCAGAGAUCCAAUUUUCCCAGCAUUCAUUUUAGCUUUUUUGUAUAAUAUUCAUUUUUUAGAUGGGUGGAUUGAUCUCUGGUUUCUAUUCUGUUCAUUUGGUCUGUAUGUCUAUUUUUGUGCCUGUACCAGUUUUGAUUAUACCCUAGUAUGUCUUGAAAUCUGGUAUUAUGAUGGCUAUAGCUUUGUUUUUGUUUAAGAUUGCUUUAGGUAUUUGGAGGUCUCUUGUGUUUUAGGAUUGUCUUUCCUAGAUCUGAGAAGAACUUGUUGGUCUUUUGAUUGCAUUUACAUUGAAUCAAUAAAUGUUUUUAGUAGUAAUAAGAUUUUGUUUAUAUUAUUCAAUCACAAACAUGACAGUUUUUUCAUUUUUGUCUUUUUCUUAAUGUUUUGUAAUUUUCAUUGUAGAAAUCUUGCACACCCUUGAUUAAAUUUACUUCAAUGUAUUUAAAUGUUUUGGAGCUUCUGUAAAUCUGCUAUUCAUACAAGUUCUUGGUCAGCGAGAUAUUGUCUGUGAAUACAAGGCUAUUGAUUUUUGCAUGUUGAUUUUAUAUUCUGCGAUUUUACCAAACUCUCUUGAGUUACAAUACUCUCUUAAUGGAUUCUUUUGGUUUCACUACAUAUAGAUUAUGUCAUCUGCAAAUAGAGAUAAUUUGACUUCCCCCUUUCCAUUUUGAAUCCCUUUGAUUUCUUUUUUCUUUCCUUCACGGCUCUGGCUAAAACUUCUAGAAUUAUAUUGAUUAGUAAUAGUGAAAGUGGGCAGGAAUCAUUGUCUUGUUCCAGAUCUUAGUGGAAAUGCUUUAAAGCUUUUCUUUGUUUAAUAUGAUGUUCCUAUGGGUUUGAAUGUUCUUCUAUACCCAAUUUAGUUAAGGUUUUCAUCCUUAAAGGAUGUUAUAUUUUAUCAAAUGCUUUCUCUGCAUCUAUCAAAAACUCAUGCUUUUAUUCUUCAGUUUGUUAAUGUUUUUUAAUGUAUCAUAUUCAUUGAUUUUUAUAUGAUGAACCCUCCCUACAUACCAGGGAUAAAUCCCACUUUGUCUGGGUGAAUGACCCUUCUGAUGUGUUGUUGUAUUCAAUUAGAUGGUAUUUUGUUAAAGAUUUCUGCAUUUAUGUUCAUCAGGGAUACAGGUUUAUAGUUCUUUCUUUGUUGUAUCUUUUGCUAGUUUCAGAAUUAAGAUGAUGCUGGCCUCAUAGAGUUUGGGAGGAUAACCUCCCUUUCAAUUGUCUUGAAUAGCUUGAGAAGAAUUGGAAUUAGUUCUUCUUUAAAUGUCUGGUAGAAUUCAGCAGUAAAACAAUCUGGUCCUGGGCUUUUCUUGGUUGGGAGGGUCUUUAUUACUGAUGAAUCUCUGUCUUGGUGAUUGGUCUGCUUAAGUUUUCUGUGUCUUCAUGACUCAAUUUUGGUAGAUUGUAUGUGUCUAGAAAUCUUUCCAUUUCUUCUAGAUUUUCUACUUUUGGGCAUAUAGUUUUUUUUAUAGGACUUAUUUGUUGUUUUGUACAAUGUGAAUUAAUGCUAUAACUAGUACUCAAACAGUACUUCACACUUUGUGUUUCUGUGUGGAUGCAAACUGUUGACAUUUUCACUUAAUAUAUACUUAAUCGAUCUUCUGUAUAUAAAGAGAAUUGAAAAUGAGUCUUGAUGUAAAUGGAAUGGGAGAGGGAGUGGGAGAUGGGAGGGCUGAGGGUGGGAGGGAAGUUAUGGGGUGGAAAAAGCCAUUGUAAUCCAUAAGCUGUACUUUGUAAAUUUAUAUUUAUUAAAUAAAAGUUUUAAAAAAAUAUUUAUUUAAAAGUCAGAGUUACGUAGGAGAGGCAGAGGCAGAGAGAAAGAGAACCUUGAAUCCAAUGAUCCACUCACCAAAUGGCCGCGAUGGUGAGGGUUAAAUCAGGUCUCCCACAAAAAUGCAGGGGCCCUAGGACUUCAGCCAUCUUUUGCUGCUUUCCCAGGCAUAUUAAUAAUGAGCUGCAUUGGAAGUGGAACAGCAGGGAUUAGAAAUGGCACCUAUAUGGGACACCAGUGCUGCAGGCACUGGAUUUACCCACUAUUUCACACUGCCAGCCCCUCAUCUCUAACUUAAUUAAUUUGGAUCUUCUGCCCUCUGUUUUUUGUUAUUUGAGCCAAUGGUGUAUCAAUUUUGUUUAUUUUUUUCAAAAAGCUAGGUUAUCAUUUCACUGACUUUGUAUUUUUUGUUUGAAUUUUAUUUCUUCUUUAAUUUUAAUUAUUAUUCCCUCUUACUAAUUUUUGAUUUGGUUUAUUGUUGUUUUUCUAGGUCCUUCAGAUGCAUUUCUUAUGAGGGACUCCAAAUAAUCUCCCACCUGCAAAACCUAGUGGUGCUGUAAGAGAUUGAUGGUUUCUGCAUAAAUCUUUCUGCUGGAACAUCAAGAUGGCACUACAGCAAUAUUAACUAUUAAAAAUUCACAAAAUUCCCAUCAGUACUACACUUUGCAUGACUUUUAAAGUUCAUGAAAAAUGUGCUUAUUUACUGCUAUCAUAAAAAGGAUGUGAUUCGGGGCCAGUAUAGUGGAUAAAGCUGGUGCCUGCAGUGCUGGCAUCCCAUAUGGGUGCCAAUUCAAGUCCCGGCUGCUCCACUUCUGAUCCAGCUCUCUGCUAUGGCCUGAGAAAGUUGUGGAAGAUGGCCCAAGUCCUUGAGACCCUGCACCUACGUGAGAAGACCCAGAGGAAGCUCCUGGCUCCAGAUCCGCACAGCUCUGGCCACUACGGGCAAUUCAGGAGUGAUCCAGCAGAUGGAACACUUCUCUCUGCCUCUACUUCUUUUUGUGUAACUCUUGACUGUCAAAUAAAAUAAUUCAGUCUUUAAAAAAAUGGGUUUCAUGUACUGUAGCACUAUUAUUCCCCAAAGGUUUGGGUGUAAACCUAAUAUACCUCUAGUCUCUCCUAUGAGACUCUAUAAUUAUGAAAAUGAGGCAUAAUAUGUUUAUAGUGAGAUAAGCAAAUAUCUAAUAGAAUCGAAUAAAUGGUCCAGAUGGUUUCUUGAACAUUAUACACACACAACUUAAAACUGUUACUUCCUAUGGUUCUAAACUGAAACGUACAACAGAGAUCAUCUAGUAUCAAAGAUAAUAUUAUACCAUAAAUAAAAUGACUCUCCAAGGUUAUAUAGUAUUGUUUUAAAAUAUUGAAAUACUUUACCUUUAAAAAAAACUUGGUAACAACUUAAUAUGUUAUCCCUCUUAAUAUUUUUUGGUUCUACUUAAUACUUUUGGUUGAAUACUGUAAUCAAUACACAAUUAUUCUUAAGUGCUGAAACUUAACUGAAAAGUGAUCGCUGUUAAAUAUAAGAGUAGGAAUAAGAGAGGGAAGAGAUGUGCAAUUUGGGACAUGCUCAAGCUGACUUGCCCCAAAUGGUAGAGUUAGAAACAUACCAGGGGAUUCCAAUUCAAUCCCAUCAAGGUGGCAUGUACCAAUGCCAUCUCACUAGUCCCAGUGAUCAAUUUCUGUUCACAAUUGAUCAUAAUGAUAGGACUAAGAACCAAAGGGAUCACAUAAACAAGACUAGUGUCUGCAAAUACUAGCUGAUAGAAUAAAAAAGGGAGAGAACAAUCCAACAUGGGAAGUGAGAUACACAGCAGACCCAUAGAAUGGCAGAUGUCCUAAACAGCACUCUGGCCUCAGAAUCAGCCCUUAAGGCAUGCGGAUCCGGCUGAAAAGCCCAUGAGACUAUUUCAGGCAUGGAAAGCCAAGACACUCUGAGGAAAAAAAAAAAAAAAAACCUAAAUGAAAGAUCUCUGUGAGUGA